GCAGACACAUUCCAGCCAUCAGCAGCAGACCCUCCCUCUCAGACCCUCCCACCUCCUGGACCCAUUUUACAUUCAUUGUGAAGCUGCAUUCUUAGUGAGCUGUCCAGAAGGUGGGAGGGUCUGGGAGGGAGGGUCUGCCGCUGAUUGGCUGGAAUGUGUCU
rnacentral:miRNA from 1 species